UACGUAGGGUGCAAGCGUUGUCCGGAAUUAUUGGGCGUAAAGAGCUCGUAGGCGGCUUGUCGCGUCAACUGUGAAAACCCGUGGCUCAACCAUGUGGUCUGCAGUCGAUACGGGCAGGCUAGAAUUCGGUAGGGGAGACUGGAAUUCCUGAUGUAGCGGUGAAAUGCGCAGAUAUCAGGAGGAACACCGGUGGCGAAGGCGGGUCUCUGGGCCGAUAUUGACGCUGAGGAGCGAAAGCGUGGGGAGCGAACAGG
rnacentral:rRNA from 1 species